GACCUGGGGGAUCCGAGUGGGGGGGGUCACCUUCCCCGCCCCCAGCGAAGUCGGCGCCGGAACUGCCCUAAUGGAAACCAGCCGCCAGGCACUCCAGGAGGGCUCAGGCCGACCCUGGGGGCCAUCAGAGAUGCGCCAGGCCGAGGGAGCUCGCGGCGGCUGGAAGAUGAACUUGACAUCCCGGCUCCACCGACCCGUCAGCGGCUCGUCAGCGGCUCGCACCCCAUCCCCACUCCGGCCGGACCAAAGUAGAAUCCGGGGUGUGCACGUGAUUUCCCAGGGAGGGCGGACUCGGGGCUUUCCCUGUCGCACCUUCCAUCGGGGGACCGUCCCCAAGUCCCCGAGAGUCCCUCGGGCAGGAUCCUUAGGGCUCAGAGCAUAGGAGGACCUGGCUUGCCUGGUGGAGGCGAGCAGCCGAGGGGUCGGUGGAGCUGCGCCCCAAAUGAGUUCCUGGCGCGCGGUUCUCCCCACCCGGACCCUUUGUCCGCCUCCUUCUCCCUCGUCCCGGGCCUAGGCUCAGGGGACCCAGGCGGCAGCGGCGGAGGUGGCAGAGGCAGAGCCCAGAGGCGCAGCCCUGACAGCUGGGAGGGUCUCACGUGGAGCCGUCCCCGGGAUCCGCGCAGUGACGGCGGGGGUCGAGGGGGUGGGGUAGGCUGCGGGCGCGCGGGAUGGGGGCUGGGGCGCAGCCCGAGAAGUGGGAGGGGAUCGGGUGAGGGGUGGUCUCUGAGGAGGAGCCAGGCUGGACCUUAUUGUUCCGCGCUCGGCCGGGGAGGGCGCGGGGCGUUCGGCUUCCCAUGUUCCUCUCCCCGCCCCCGCCCCGUGGGCGCGAGAGGAGGCUGGGGGCUCCUUGUGCACCCGAGACGCCGCUGCCUGGCUCGCCGGGUGGGGUGUGGGUCCUCCGAGCGGUGCCGGGAAGGAGGUGCUCUCUGCCCGCGCUCCCAGGACGGCUCUACCCAGGGCGGGGGUCCGGAGUGGGCCGACCCCCGCAGCGCCCUGGGUUCGCGGGCCCAGAGGCUGGAGGCAGCGAGGAGCUAGGGUCCUUCACCCUCGUCACAUGCCUCCCCAGGAGUCGGCGUCCCAGUUCCCCGCGAUGGCCGCGGGCCGCUGCCGUACGGAGACGCCGCGCGGACUCCGGAGCGCCCCUUCCUAGCGGGGCGCAGCUCUUUCUUGUCCCCCGCCGGGCCAGCGGGAUGGGAGGCGGAGGGUCGGUCCUGAAGGUCUGCGCGGACCACCGCGGGGGCAUCAACUGGCUGAGCCUGAGCCCCGACGGGCAGCGCCUGCUGACGGGCAGCGAGGACGGCACGGCCCGGCUCUGGAGCACCGCCGACGGCCAGUGCUGCGCGCUCCUGCAAGGACACGAAAGCUAUGUGACCUUCUGCCAGCUGGAGGAUGAGGCCGCCUUCACAUGCAGCGCCGACUGCACCAUCAGGAGGUGGGACGUGCUCACCGGGCAGUGUCUGCAGGUGUACCGAGGACACACGUCCAUUGUGAACAGGAUCCUGGUUGCCAACAACCAGCUCUUCAGCAGCUCCUACGACCGGACAGCUCGGGUCUGGAGCUUGGACAAGGGGCAGAUAUCCCGGGAGUUCCAGGGCCACCGAAACUGCGUGCUGCCUCUAGCCUACUCUGCCCCGUGGGACCUCCCCAGCGCUCCCUGUGUGGAGGAGGCCGUGGCUGGGGGGCUCCUGGUGACUGGCAGCACGGACGGCACGGCCAAGGUAUGGCAGGUGGCCAGCGGCUGCUGCCACCAGACACUGCGGGGCCACACGGGCGCAGUGCUGUGCCUGGUGCUGGACACGCCCGGCCACACGGCCUUCACGGGUAGCACCGACGCCACCAUCCGUGCCUGGGACAUCCUGAGUGGGGAGCAGCUGCGGGUGUUCCGGGAGCACCAGGGCUCCGUCAUCUGUCUGGAGCUGGUGAACCGAUUCGUGUACUCUGGCAGCGCGGACAGGACCGUCAAGUGCUGGCUGGUAGACACGGGGGAGUGUGUGCGCACGUUCACGGCCCACAGACGCAACGUGAGCGCCCUCAAGUACCACGCGGGCACCUUGUUCACGGGCAGCGGGGACGCUUGCGCCCGGGCCUUCGACGCGCAGUCUGGAGAGCUGCGGAGGGUGUUCCGGGGCCACACAUUCAUCAUCAACUGCAUCCAGGUGCACGGCCAGGUGCUCUACACCGCCUCGCACGACGGCGCCCUGCGCCUCUGGGACGUGCGCGGGCUCCGAGGUGCCCCGCGGCCCCCUCCGCCCACGCGCAGCCUCUCACGCCUCUUCAGCAACAAGGAACCCAGGGCGGCGGGCCUCCUGCCCUCUGCCUCUCACACCGGCCUGGGCAGCUUUGGGGGUGACUUGUGGAGAUGCGGGGCUGCCGCCAGUGUCACUGGUGCAGGGAGUGGACUUGGAAGAGGCCAGGGAGCAAGGGAGCGGCUCUUUAGCCUGUGCAGGUGCCAGGAGAGAAGCUGCAGGUGACAGUGUCUGCCGUGAAGAGCUCAUCAUCUCGCUGCAGAGAGAAGCAUCUGCUGCAGGAGCAGCCCCUUCAAGUGGAGCAGCCCUUUCAGAGUUGAGUCAAGAUAGUCUUCCUCAUGCUCCGGAAUGUCUUCCAGUAUCUCAUUGACGGCCUCUGUCUCCAUGUCUUCGUCUGUUGAGGCACUAGAGGUUCCUACAAUAAAAUACCGCGGGAGUAAGUGAAUUAUGUGAGGAUUGUCCUGGGGACACUGCACAACCACAGUCAACCUCAGACUGUGCCUCCUGCUGGCCACACUGUCCAGGCGGCCAGCCCAGCGACGUCAGGGGACGCCCCUCUCAGUCUCCAUGUCUGACGUGGCCUAGGGUACCAGCCCCAUCUGUUGGCUUCUGAAGACACUUUGCUGUCAACGUGGCCCUCAGAGACCUCAGACCUACCUGCAGAGUCAGAAGGGGAUGUGGCUGGCGGAGACAAAGAGUCUUCCGGCGACAGCGGCAGGUCGGGGGGCAGGCUUCCUCCGUUGUGAGCAAGGGUCUGGGCAGCCAGCUGGACGUUGCCUCUGAACACUCUCAGCGCAGCUUCGGCCACAAGUGCAUCAAAACCCAUGUACACCAACUAGGGGAGAGGGCAGGGUCACAGCCUCGGCCACCCCCAUCACCCACAACGAGCAGACAGCCGGCUCUCAUAUUUAAGAGCUCCCGGCAUGCGCACCAUGGCCCUUUCGGCACAAGUCAUGCUUCUGUGCAACGGGAGCGUGGAGCAACCUGGAAGGGGGGCUUGGAAGACUCGAGUCAGGUGCGUCAGUAAGCAGCCAUCUCGGGACAGGCAGUGACCUCGGGCUGAGAGCAAGGCGCCACGCCAGUCUCACCACGAGCACCGUGAGGAGACAGAAAGCUUUCAACAAAGCUAAGUGACUGCCACAUUCUCCCAGGGAGACCAGCUCCACCAUCAGCAGCAGUGAGGACGGGGGAGAAAACAGACUCCCCUCCUUCCAGAGACCUGCUCCUGCCUCCCACCCAGCCCAGGCAACAGGCGCCUCCCUGCGUUUUCCCCACAGCAAGAAAGUGGCCUCAUCUCAGGAAAACAAAAGCACCAUCAUCAUGGAACCAGACUCCACAGUGCCACGGUAGGAGCAGGCAGAGCAGAGUGGCUGCUGGAAACAUCUCCAGGGAUGAAGAUACCUGUACACUCAUGGCCUGUCUCUAUCACAGGAGAACCUCCCCUAGUUGGUGUACAUGGGUGCCUCUCUGCACCCCGAGAAUCCAGCUGCACCAGGCCUGUCUCAUGCCCCCAUUACGUGCUCUACCUCUCAGCGGCCAGUCUCCCCCAGCUCCAGCCCCACUGCACAGCGCAGUGGGCUCCGUCAUUCCAGUCACCUACCUAAAAGCCCACAGCAGCUCCCGACCACCUCCCCACACUGAGGCACCAGCUCCUUAUUAUGCUACUCAGGGCUCCCACUCCCUAGCCCCAACAGCGCUUCCAAACUGACCUUAUCCUGCCACACAACCCAACCACGCACGCCAGCAGGAGCCUUUCAUGCCACUCACAUUUGCACUUUUAUUCACACUUACACUCCACAUAAAAUGCCUUUACUGGUCCCAUCCUCUGCUUUCAAUACAGUUUCUUCCAUUUAUAUUCCAAAAGGCUAUGAAGCAUGCCUAACAUCCAAGCACAGAGAAGGACGCUGCCAGCCAGCAGACCUGGGCAUUACCUAACACAGACCUCACAUCAACUGGGAGCUUCGAAGAACACUUCCUUUCAUUACAAAUGUCUUAGUCUGUUUCCUUUUAAUCAUGUAAACACACGUGAGAAAAUUAUUUUCUGAUAUAUUUCUCUUUAUACUAAGAUGAGUUAGAAAGAUAAAGUAGAUCAAUCAAUGACAGUACUGCACUGAAGUGGCUACAGUUAAGUAGAAUCAGAUUUCAAGAGAGAGACAUUGUAUGGUCACAAGCAGCUGGGACAACCUCUUAGGAAGGCUGCCUCUCAUAGUCUGGCCAUACUGAAGCAUGAUCUGUGAUCUCUGUUUCUACAGCUGUUGCUUUUUGCCAGAUGAGAAACUGGUCUGUACUCAGGGCCAUGUUGCACAAAAAAUAUAAACUUUAAAAAUUA